UUCAAAACCACGAAAUUUUUUACACAUGGAAAUUACUAUUUUACAGCAAAAUCAGAAAGAACUAUGAAUUAAAACUAAUAAGACCAUUUGAAAUUUCCAUUUGUGAGAGUAGUACGUUUUAAAUAGCUAAGAAUAUUUGCCCACCCUUUAGAAAUUGAAACUGGUGGAUAUUCAAAACCAUGCAUUCCAAAAGAUUGUUGUUUUUGUCAGUUUUGUAAAACUACUGAAGAUGAUUUAAAGUUUUUAUCUCGCUGCUUUAUGAUGUUAGUAACAGGCUACUUGUCGGAGUGCACUUGGGCUGUUUACAUACAUGUGAUUUGAGGGUACUUAUUGUGCAGGUGGGAAAAAUGCCAUGAUAUUGUUUUCCGCUGUCGGUAGUUUGGCAUCAAUUUUAAUUACCCCCCCCCCCCCCUCCUUAUUAGAUACAUCGAGAAUAAUUACCGGUGUGAUACCUUGGAAGCUGGUGUAUGCAUAAAGUUAGACUUAUUGGAAAUUGCUGAUACACGCAUGUACAAAUGAAAAUUUUCUAUCAGCCGUAUUCACCAUCCCGAAUUUGUAGAUCGUCAAUCAAAAGGAAAACACAGAUUUCUAGCACUCGGAAGAAAGCGAAAAACAUGAACAAUCCUUAACAAUACUGUCCAUGUAUAUUUAGAUAACUUUUAAAAAUAUCUAUAAAGCUUUACACUACAGUCAGAUUCCGGUAAUAGUUACAAGACUGUGACGUCACACUCGAGUAAGCCGUCUGACGCGUCUGACGUAUGCAAGACAGCGAAUGUGAAAGUACAUAGAAACUCUACAGACUGAUGAGAAUUACUUUAGACGGGGUACGUCAACGAAUAGGCACGACAGCGAAAAUAUGGAAGUCACUUCGGGGACGUGUCGCAGAAUCGCAUAACUCUACACGAGAUUAAAAGAAAGAAAGAAAAAACAAUGAAGACAACCAUGUAAAAAUAAAUUCAAUCAAUUAAAUUAUCAGCAGAUUGAAA